rnacentral:rRNA from 1 species
GGGUUGUGAGGUUAAGCGACUAAGCGUACACGGUGGAUGCCCUGGCAGUCAGAGGCGAUGAAGGACGUGCUAAUCUGCGAUAAGCGCCGGUAAGGUGAUAUGAACCGUUAUAACCGGCGAUUUCCGAAUGGGGAAACCCAGUGUGACUCGUCACACUAUCAUUAACUGAAUCCAUAGGUUAAUGAGGCGAACCGGGGGAACUGAAACAUCUAAGUACCCCGAGGAAAAGAAAUCAACCGAGAUUCCCCCAGUAGCGGCGAGCGAACGGGGAGGAGCCCAGAGUCUGAAUCAGCAUGUGUGUUAGUGGAAGCGUCUGGAAAGGCGCGCGAUACAGGGUGACAGCCCCGUACACAAAAGCGCAUGUGCUGUGAGCUCGAUGAGUAGGGCGGGACACGUGGUAUCCUGUCUGAAUAUGGGGGGACCAUCCUCCAAGGCUAAAUACUCCUGACUGACCGAUAGUGAACCAGUACCGUGAGGGAAAGGCGAAAAGAACCCCGGCGAGGGGAGUGAAAAAGAACCUGAAACCGUGUACGUACAAGCAGUGGGAGCCCCACCACUAAGCCAGUGGUGAACUCCACAUACGCAUCCUUUGCUGAGGAUACGGUUAACGGAGCGAAAGCGACGUUCAACCUCAAAAGAAGCAGAGGGGGCUUAGUGGUGGGGUGACUGCGUACCUUUUGUAUAAUGGGUCAGCGACUUAUAUUCUGUAGCAAGGUUAACCGAAUAGGGGAGCCG